ensembl:misc_RNA Metazoa_SRP Metazoan signal recognition particle RNA
GCUGGGUGCAGUGGUGCAUGCUGUAGUCCCAGCUACGUGGGAGGCAAGGUGGGAGGACGGCUUGAGCCCAGAAGUUCGGGGCCGUAAUGCGCUGUGCCAGUCGGGUGUCUGUCCUAAGUUUAGCCCCUAUGCAGUGACCUCUCAGGAGUGCAGAACCCUCGGUUGCCUAAGGAGGGAUGAACCUGACCAGGCUGGAACCAGAGAAGGUGAAAAUUCCCUUGCUGAUCAGUGGUGGGAUGGCGCCUGUGAACAGCCACUGCACUCCAGCCUGGACAAUACAGCGAGAACCUGUCUCU